GAUCAUUACUGAGUGAGGGCCUUCGGGCUCGACCUCCAACCCUUUGUGAACACAACUUGUUGCUUCGGGGGCGACCCUGCCGUUUCGACGGCGAGCGCCCCCGGAGGCCUUCAAACACUGCAUCUUUGCGUCGGAGUUUAAGUAAAUUAAACAAAACUUUCAACAACGGAUCUCUUGGUUCUGGCAUCGAUGAAGAACGCAGCGAAAUGCGAUAAGUAAUGUGAAUUGCAGAAUUCAGUGAAUCAUCGAAUCUUUGAACGCACAUUGCGCCCCUUGGUAUUCCGAGGGGCAUGCCUGUUCGAGCGUCAUUUCACCACUCAAGCCUCGCUUGGUAUUGGGCGCCGCGGUGUUCCGCGCGCCUCAAAGUCUCCGGCUGAGCUGUCCGUCUCUAAGCGUUGUGAUUUCAUUAAUCGCUUCGGAGCGCGGGCGGUCGCGGCCGUUAAAUCUUUCACAAGGU
rnacentral:rRNA from 1 species